GUGACUGUGUGUGUGCUAUGUGCUUGUGUAAUCUCAUCUCUGUCUAAACCGGUCUUUCAGGGAAUACUGCAAGCGUUUGCACAUCUCUGACAACAACACACAGUUCCUGGAGAACUUCCUGUCUCUCAUGGUGGAGAUCACACCAGAAUCUGAAGACUGUGAGUUUCUCCUCUGUGUGUCUGUAUCUUGUAUUAUUAAGGGCCAUGCCAUUAACCCUACAACAGGUCUGUUGAACCGCUGAACAUUAUAUGGAAGGACACUUGAGGCACAAAGCAUUCUUUUGGGCAGUGUGCAAUGUGAGUUUUUCACCUGUGAUAUUUUACAAAGACUGACAGGUUACUUUAAUUGUGUGUGUGUGUGCGCAUGUGUAUCAUCACAGGUGAUCAAAGACUCAUUCAUAACCUGAUUUUGGAUUCUGGAAUCAUCUGGCAGCUAGCAUCUAGAGUGUGGAAGAACAAGGAUAUCCAAACAUCCGCAAACAGAUGAUUGAUGGCAGACCGGGUGAUAUGCGGAUUAAGACGCUUGUUAAGUCAAUUGAUGAGAUAAGUGAUCGAUACAUAGAUGUAGCACUUUGAGGUUACUGCUGGACCCCCAUCAAUGAUACAGACUACAGUCUGGUCCUGGUACUACUGACCAACAAUGAAUCCAGGCAGACCUGAGUGAUGUGAUGCUGCAGCUCCAGUAUCUUCAAUCUCUGCUGCCCAGCUCCUUUGAAUCAGGGGGACACGGGCUCCUGGCUCCCAGGGAAUAGUCAAGCGUUUGCACAUCUCGGACAACAACACACAGUUCCUGGAGAACUUCCUGUCUCUCAUGGUGGAGAUCACACCAGAAUCUGAACUCUAUGAGUUUCUCAUCUGUGUGUCUGUAUCUUGUAUUAUUAAGGGCCAUGCCAUUAACCCUACACCAGGUGAUCAAAGCGUCAUUCAUAACCUGAUUUUGGAUUCUGGAAUCAUCUGGCAGCCAACAUCUGGAGUGUGGAAGAACAAGGAUAUCAAAACGUGAGUGAACUCAUCACAUAAUCAAAUAAAAUGAUAUUUGUCACGUGCGCCGAAUACAACAGGUGUAGAUCUUACAGUGAAAUGCUUACUUACAAGCCCUUAACCAACAAUGCAGUUUUAAGAAAAAUACCCCCCCAAAAUGUAAAAAUUUAAAAUAGAAAUAAAAGUGACAAAUAAUUAAAGAGCAGCAGUAAAAUAACAAUAGCGAGGCUAUAUACAGGGGUACCAGUACAGAGUCAAUGUGCGGGGGCACCGGUUAGUCAAGGUAAUAGGUACAUGUAGGUAGAGUUAUUAAAGUGACUAUGAAUAGAUAAUAAACAGAGAGUAGCAACCAUUUGAUUAGAUGUUCAGGAGUCUUUUGGCUUGGGGGUAGAAGCUGUUUAGAAGCCUCUUGGACCGAGACUUGGUGCUCCGGUCCCGCUUGCCAUGCGGUAGCAAAGAGAACAGUGUAGAACGUUUUGAGGAUCUGAGGACACAUGCCAAAUCUUUUCAGUCUCCUGAGGGGGAAUAGGUUUUGUCGUGCCCUCUUCACAACUGUCUUGGUGUGCUUGGACCAUGUUAGUUUGUUGGUGAUGUGGACACCAAGGAACUUGAAGCUCUCAACCUGCUCCACUACAGCCCUGUCAAUGAGAAUGGGGGCAUGCUAGGUCCUCUUUUUCCUGUAGUCCACAAUCAUCUCCUUUGUCUUGAUCACGUCGAGGGAGUGGUUAGAGAGAAUACAGCAGACGGUUUGUGUUCAAAGAUGAUUGAUGACCUAUUUUAUGUGUCACGUAGUUAUGCCCAUAUAUGUACAUCCUGUCCUUCCGUUCUCACGCUAUCGAGUGAGUUCUUAUGUAACCUGAUAGUUCAUCUGUUUAUGGUAAAGCAUGUGUUUGCAUUAAAGUUGUCAAGAUGAUUGAUGUGUAGUGACCUUGUUGAACUAUGGAAUGUGUUUGAACAUUUUAAAGAGUAGAGUAGUGUCUCUUCUGUUUAUGAUGAUGUAUAUGAAACAGUAAUUUCCGGGGGGUAGGGUAUUGGUCAGUAUAAGUAAAGAGCUGUGAACACUACGAGCGACACGAAGCCUCGAGAGAGAUAAACCACUGAAGACUCUAAAGAAGAAAGAAAUAAAACAUGGCUCCUAGACCAAUUUUAGGUGUAUUGUGAUUUAACUACAAUGAAUGAAAUCCCUUUCUCUCUCUCUCUCUCUGUGUGUGUGUGUGUGUGUGUGUGUGUGUGUGUGUGUGUGUGUGUGUGUGUGUGUGUGUGUGUGUGUGUGUGUGUGUGUGUGUGUGUGUGUGUGUGUGUGUGUGUGUGUGUGUGUGGACAAGGAUCUGUAGCGGGGUUGUGUGUGGGAGGUCGUUCGGUUAGAAGCAGAGAAACAUGCUGAUAACAUUAUUUUCUAAGAAAGGAAUUAAAGAAGAAUUAUACAUGUAAACAUUUAAAGGAUAUAAAUGGCAUUUAUGUAUUCAUUUUUGAGUUUGCAACCCAAUGUGACACUUUGAAUACAUCACAGAAGACUGAAAUGUAACAUAACACAUAUUGUGUUUAUUGAGAUGUACACUGAGAUGCUCAUUUGGGCAAUAUUCCCCUCCAGUGAUUCCCCAACAUCUUGUCAACAUGGGACCCAAAAAUGGAGCAGAUAUCAUAUACCAACAUAUCUUUAUAGACAUGUAUCCAUAACAAGGCUUAGGAGGCCCUUAUAGUGUCCAAAAAUGUCUCUAAAAUGUCACAUAUUUUAAACAUCUUCAUUUUCAUGCAUACAACUUGUCAACAAGUAUUUUUAUGACCAAAUGCACAUUCUUUAGUGUAGACAUACAUUUUUUAUGAUUUCAUGACUGUUUGGUAGUAGAUCCCUGAAUGGUCAGAAAUCUGUUCAAAUAGAAGUAUGUUUGUAGCACAAAAUAUCUUACAGGUAGGGCCUCUUUCACUCUCUCAACAUGUAACAAGCUGACAGGCUCCCAGAGGCAGGGUCCCAGCUCACUCAACUGCCCCUCCCCUCUCCAACAGCCAUCAGCCUAGAACAGCAUGAAGAUGGAACUGCUAAAAGAUCAUCUAUGUAAGGGCUUUGAUAGUCGCGUUGCAGGAAUGAGGCGCAGGAAGCAACGAACACAGGGAGUGGUGUUUUUAAUAACACUGAAGCAAAAACAAAGUUCCCAAGCACAGGGGAAUAAACACAAUGAGCGACAAUGCAAAGCCGACACGAACAAGAAGUCGACAUACAAUAAUCAAUCCCGCACAACAAGGAGCGGGCCAGCUAAACUAAAUAGCCCCUCUAAUGGCUAAUUGACCACAGGUGUCCAAAAGCAAAAAAAGGGAAAAGCAAAAGGGAAUCGGUGGCAGCUAAUAGGCCGGUGACGACGACCGCCGAGCGCCACCCGAGCAGGAGGGGGCGCCACCGUCGGUGGGAAUCGUGACAAUCUAGGAAUCCUCCCUUCCUCGUGGAGCUUUUUGAAGGCUAUGAAAAAAGACAAAAGACAUGACAUUGACUCCUGAGUGUUGAACUUUUGCCCACUCUGUAGCCUCCCUGGUUAUUAUAUGACCCUGAUGGUCAUCUACGAUUGUUGGAACGUCUUUAAUAACAAUAAGGGGCAUAUGUACUCUUAAAUGUCCACUCAGCACAGCCCUCGGAGCAUGGUUCCUCUCUAGUUUUAAUCCUAGGUUUAUGACUUCUAGGGAGUGUUUCCUAGAUGCUGUGAAUCGGCAUAUGCAUUGAUGGGUCUUAGAUUUUUAGACUGGGUAUCUGUAAAACACUGACAACUGCUGAUGCAAAAAGGGGUUUUAAGAAAUACAUUUGGUUGAUUGAAAGAUUUGUAUUAUUAUCAAAAUAAUAUAACAAUAGUAUUAUUAUAAUCAUAAUCUUUAUUAUUAUUAUGUUACAGGUGUGACAUACCCAGAAAUGUCAACGUCUUGUCAAGUGCUCAAAUCUGUACAGCAGCCCCAGACAAUCAUGUACAGUAGGUCCAAUUUACAAGAAUGGGUUUACAAGGCAGUGAUGAAAACAGUUUAUAUGAGCGCUAAUUCAAACAUACAAUGAUAUAUAUUCGAUACAAUUACCCAUUCAAAACUAGUGUUACAAAAUCACUUCUCAUUGUGUUCAUUUCAAGGUUUCACAAACAUAAAACAACUAUCUAGUUAAUGUUUCUUGGACUAACACACUGUUGAGUUUCCUAUUUACUGAAGAACAAUCAUUAAGACAAAACACAAAAAGUUGUAAUGUAAUCUGUAUACAUGUCAUUCUAUACUGAAAACAGGUACAUUCUGAAAGAUUUUGAUGAUGUUGAUGUGAUAACACAUCUUUUUAUUCAUGUCUCAAUUUAGGAUAAUAGUGUUUAUUUUAAUUUUACUUAAAUUGUAUUAUUUAUGUUGUCUCAUACCAUGCUAAUACACUACCAAGCAAUGCAAACAGAUGUGGAAUUUACCCCAUAACAGUUGUGUCUUUUUGGAUCAAGAAUUGAUCAAGAAUUCCAAUAGGCGUGAUCAGAUCCUCUUUCCAUGCAGGCAUCAUAUAAUGCACAGCCACAUGCAAAUCCAUAAACUCCACCAAUAAAACAUUGAAAACCUU
rnacentral:lncRNA from 1 species